AGCGGCGGACGGGUGAGUAACGCGUGGGUAACCUGCCCUAUACACACGGAUAACAUACCGAAAGGUAUGCUAAUACGAGAUAAUAUAAGAGAUUCACAUGGAUUUCUUAUCAAAGCUGAGGCGGUAUAGGAUGGACCCGCGUCUGAUUAACUAGUUGGUAAGGUAACGGCUUACCAAGGCGACGAUCAGUAGCCGACCUGAGAGGGUGAUCGGCCACAUUGGAACUGAGACACGGUCCAAACUCCUACGGGAGGCAGCAGUGGGGAAUAUUGCACAAUGGGCGAAAGCCUGAUGCAGCAACGCCGCGUGAGUGAUGAAGGCCUUCGGGUCGUAAAACUCUGUCCUCAAGGAAGAUAAUGACGGUACUUGAGGAGGAAGCCCCGGCUAACUACGUGCCAGCAGCCGCGGUAAUACGUAGGGGGCUAGCGUUAUCCGGAUUUACUGGGCGUAAAGGGUGCGUAGGUGGUCUCUUAAGUCAGGAGUGAAAGGCUACGGCUUAACCGUAGUAAGCUCUUGAAACUGGGAGACUUGAGUGCAGGAGAGGAAAGUGGAAUUCCUAGUGUAGCGGUGAAAUGCGUAGAUAUUAGGAGGAACACCAGUAGCGAAGGCGGCUUUCUGGACUGUAACUGACACUGAGGCACGAAAGCGUGGGGAGCAAACAGGAUUAGAUACCCUGGUAGUCCACGCCGUAAACGAUGAGUACUAGGUGU
rnacentral:rRNA from 1 species